rnacentral:rRNA from 1 species
UAGGGAAUAUUGCAAAAUGGGCGAAAGCCCGAUGCAGCAACGCCGCGUGGGCGAUGAAGGCCUUCGGGUCGUAAAGCCCUUUUUGAGGGGAUGAGGAAGGACAGUACCCUCAGAAUAAGCCUCGGCUAACUACGUGCCAGCAGCCGCGGUAAAACGUAGGAGGCGAGCGUUAUCCGGAUUUACUGGGCGUAAAGCGCGUGCAGGCGGAUUGGAGAGUUGGAUGUGAAAGCUCCCGGCUUAACUGGGAGAGGUCGUUCAAUACUUCCAGUCUUGAGUGCAGUAGAGGGAAGUGGAAUUCCGGGUGUAGUGGUGAAAUGCGUAGAUAUCCGGAGGAACACCAGUGGCGAAAGCGGCUUCCUGGACUGUAACUGACGCUCAGACGCGAAAGCUAGGGUAGCAAACA